UUGCGUGAGCAACGGCCCGAAGGGCGAGCCACGUAGUGGCGAGUAAUCCUCUAUCACCGACCA
rnacentral:sRNA from 1 species